rnacentral:rRNA from 1 species
UGGGGAAUAUUGCACAAUGGGCGCAAGCCUGAUGCAGCGACGCCGCGUGGGGGAUGACGGCCUUCGGGUUGUAAACUCCUUUCGCCAGGGACGAAGCGUUUUGUGACGGUACCUGGAGAAGAAGCACCGGCUAACUACGUGCCAGCAGCCGCGGUAAUACGUAGGGUGCAAGCGUUGUCCGGAAUUACUGGGCGUAAAGAGCUCGUAGGUGGUUUGUCACGUCGUCUGUGAAAUUCCACAGCUUAACUGUGGGCGUGCAGGCGAUACGGGCUGACUUGAGUACUGUAGGGGUAACUGGAAUCCCUGGUGUAGCGGUGAAAUGCGCAGAUAUCAGGAGGAACACCGAUGGCGAAGGCAGGUUACUGGGCAGUUACUGACGCUGAGGAGCGAAAGCAUGGGUAGCAAACAGGAUUAGAUACCCUGGUAGUCCAUGCCGUAAACGGUGGGCGCUAGGUGUAGGGGCCUUUUGGGGUUUCUGUGCCGUAGCUAACGCAUUAAGCGCCCCGCCUGGGGAGUACGGCCGCAAGGCUA